AAGCAUGCAUCAGCCACAUCCAUGCUAUCUCCUAAAGCAGUCAUUCUGAAACCCAAUCUGGGGACAGUGCAGACUAAAUAAAAUUUCAUUUUGAUUUGGCCUCCCGCUGAGAAUGGGACUGCUUUGUUUCAGCCGACAGAACCAGCAAGCCAGAAAGGUGUUGAAUACACAAAUACUGAGUAAACAGAAAAUUAUAUUUGGAUUUGGCUUGCUUGAUGCUGGACGAUUAAUGAAGGAAGCCCUAACUGGACAAAUGUUGGUCUCCUGAGACAAUGUGUUGUUGAUAACAGAAAAGGAUUGACAAUAAGAUGUGGAUGUUCAUCUUUAAUGAACUCUAGUCGCCAAGUGGAAGCCAGCUAAGUUUGAUGAUGCAAUUGAAUACCUUCUCAGCAGCAGCUGAAUAUUUGCUCCUCAAAACAGUAAGAGCAAGCCUGUUAACUGCAAAUGUGAAGAGAUGAAGCAAGCAAAACAGAAAAAGUGUGAAGAGCUUUGCUGCCACAUCAUCCCUGUAUCAGAUAGUUUUGGGAUCAAUGAAUGAACAGGUAUGUAAAAGAGACUGAUAUUCUACAGAGAAGGGCUAUUCCAGAGAAAUGAAGGGGGGAAAAUUAAAAGGCAGUACAUUGUCACUAUAUGAUGACAAUAUUAGAGAAAGAAUUUCAUUUAUCUUCUUUUAAUUUUGGAUCUUUACAGUGGAAGAGUACUUCAGAGAGAUCUUGAUAAUAAUAUCUUUUAUCAAGUGUUGCCACAGUACCAGUAUUUUUGUUUUCUUGUUGGAGUUACUCAAGUAAGAGGAACCACUCUGCUGUAUAAGUUAAAAGUUCACAUUUCGUCCUUCAUUUUUGUGCUUUACAUUAUAAGACAUUUUGUUUACUAUAGAGGUAAUAGAUAUCAUCACCUUUGGUUAACCAUGAAAAUGUUGAUUUUCAAAUUACUAGAAGUUUUAAUUAUUCCAAUUAUAACUUAAUACUGCUGCAAUGACAUUUCACAUGCAGAAGUUAUAUCAGUGAAAAUCACUUAGGAUAACAGGUAGAAAUUAAAAUGUUUUCUCUGAGUAUUCACAGUACACUGGAAAUUGGGAGGUCAGGAUUUCUCACAGAUAAGACCAUCCAUUGCUGUGUUUCCAUCCAAGGAGUUACAUGCUACAUUCCCUUCCUCCCUUAUACACCAAAGCAAGAGAAACAUUUCCCUCACUAGCAGGGAUUCAGUGGUCUUCUUUGUCAGGCACUAGUUUUGGUGGUUUUGGCGCUGUACAAGGCAGAAGAUAUGAGAGAUGUCUGGAUUGUCAGCCUCAAGUGGUUACUUUAAAUGCCAGAGGUGAAGGAAUUCUGGAAAGAGCUGAAAAAAUACAAGUAGAUUAAUUUGCACUUCACAGAAGUUUCUGUUAGAAUAGAGACAGAAAGGGACUGAAUGAGGCAGGAAGGGAAGAGAACAUAGAGGCGAAGUAAUGGCAAAAAUUAAACAUUUAAUAUUUCCUUUAACUGCACUCAGAGAUGGGGAUUAUAUUUGACCAAACAACGAAAUCCUCCACCACAAGUCAGAGCUAAGGCUAACUCCACUUUUUCUUUUCAAUACUUUCAACAGAAAGGACCCAGUCAGUUAUUCUCUCUUCUCUAUGGGUGCUACAUAGUGUACUAGCAACACUAAUCGACCAAGCAGAUGGUUUUGUGGCAUUGUAUGAGUGGUAUAAUAUUUUUCUGUAAAUAUAAAUAGGAUACUCACUCACCUUGUUCAAGUUCCCAAUGUACUUCAUAAUAAACUAAAUCAUUUUAACAGAAAAAUGUUGACCAACCCUAGCCUAACAGCAUUCACAAAAUGAGCUGAAUAGUGACACAAAUCCCACCCAUUUACAAAAAAGUGGUAUUACAUUGACUUUGACAAUUUGAAGGAUAAACACAGAUAUGUGAAAGAUGGAGCAAUAAAAACCAUGUACUCCCUGCUCUUCAAAGGUCUCACCAGAAUCCACAAAGGUAAUAUACCUACUCUUUUUGAUUUUAAUAAGCUUUGUAUGAGUCAAAAAUCAUUGAAAAUUAGUAACAGGAAAAAGAAUUACUCUGUUUAUAUUUGUUGGGCUAUAUCCAUAAUAAACUUAUAAAAAAAAGAAAACAGUAGAAAACAUUAAAACAGACCCAAAUAUUAAAUUAAUUCUAGACUUCAAUGUUACCUCAUUUUCUGGUCCAACAUAAGUGUGUGAUGACUUUUCCAAAGCCUUUAUUGAAAACAUUUCCGAUCUUGGAACUGUGCAUCUUGCUUUCCUCUUGCAGCUGUUCCUUCUAGGGACAUGAAUCCUUGGACAAGCAGUUACCAAUAUCAGAGGGUAGUCUGGAAUGUACCACCCCCUGGGACACCCAAGGAUUACAGAUUGCUCUCAUGGGAGCUGCUGGAUGAGGGGUGGUGGGUCAGGAAAGCAUCCAGCUAAAGCAGAGUGGCCAGGAGUGCCCCAGGGCACAGAAGCAAGGCCAAACACCAUUCUGCCAGACACAGACGUCUGAGCUAACCUGGAUUUUCAGGUAGAGCAGGUAGAUUUUAUUCUUUCAGUGGCUUUUUAUCUGACAAUAAAAUAAAGCAAGCAAAAGAAGUAUAAAAUUAGAUCCUCGUUCUGCAUAUCAUAAAAGGAGAACUGAGGAAAAGACGGCUGGAGUGAUUUUCUGGAGCAAGUUGAGCCCUAGGUCGAAUUGGAUCUCCUGCCUUGUUCAGAGGCUGCCCUUUCCUGACUGUGAUGUGGAAGAAACACAGCCAUUAGCAGGCACCUGCAAAAAUGCUCCACCUGUUUUUGCUCAAAGUGACAAAGCCCAGAGGACGAUGUCUGUGUUCCCUGCAGGUCUGUAGGGAGCAUGAUGUAGCUGAUGCAAUUCCCAGCUCCAGCACACCUGCAAGGUCUCAUUGAUCUGCUGUUCAGUGCUCUGAAAACUCAGAAAUCUAUUAUCAGUGUGAGCAUGUGCUUAUUGAUCAGGUUACCUGCUUCUGCUCCCUGUGUGUGCCUAAUUCUACCAGCAUACACACACACACACAGACACACGUAAAUAUUCACACAUGUGUGCAUAGAUACAGGCACACACACAUGGGUUAGGGGCAUGUGUGUAUGAAAAAGGCUUUACCUUUUCUCUUUUUUUUAGCUUUACAAAACUGCACAUAAAUAAAAAGAAUGGACCUUCCCUGUGAAACGUGAGCACAGAAACGCUCACAAGUGGCCAAGAGCUGCUAAAUAAUUAAUCAAUAGAGCAGUGUGGCAGUUUGAAAUGUAAAUGUGAUGGAUGAAUGUGUGAUGCUUGUCAUCAAGCAGAAAAUGAUGUGACUGGAAUGGAUAACCCACAGUACCUGCUAACUGGCAAGAGCUUGGACACAAAGAUAAAGUAAAGCCAUCAGAAAGCAGACCUGGCAACCCCUAAUUCUUGCCUUUGACCCACAAUUCACUUUCAUGUCUCUGUCCCAGAAGAGAUGUUUAAAAAAAUGAUGAAGAGAGAUCUUGGGGUGGGAAAGGGGUGAGAAAAAAACCAUCUGAAGAAAUGCUACCUGACAAGGCUGCAGGCUACGUUCUUGAGAACACCUUUCUUUUCUUUAUGUUCUCCUUCUCCCGUUAAAUAAAAAUGCGGCUCCUUUUUUCCCUUCCCUUUCUUCCGAAACUCUCCCGAGCCGUUCCUGCAAGUGGUUCUGUGACUCGGGAGCUGACAACAGCCGCAUGCAAAGGAACAAAGAAUGAGAGUGACAAUUCAGAGUGCACGCAGGACCUCUACAGAUGUGAAGCAGCCUGCAGAAGCAGUAGAUCUCCAGGUGAACUGGCCAGUGUUUCCAUAUUUCCUCAAAUGAUUUUUUUUACCAUUUUUGUUGGGAUCAGGUUUUUAAUCUUUAUGAUACCUUUAUAAAGAGUCAUCAAGAAAACACUUAAGUAUUUCUACACAAAAAAAAAAAAAAAUAACAACAAAAGAAAAACCAAACCAAAAAAAAAAAAAAAGGUGCCAAAAUUAAUUUUGGAAGUCAAGAAUUAGAGCUUAUAUUAAAAUAGAACCCUACUUUGUCCAGCUCCAUAGUAAAUAACCCACAUUUUGUCUCGGACAGGUUGCUGAUGUAAAUCCAUUGAAGGGAAAUCCCUUCUGUAAGCUGGCUACCUGGAUAAGCUUUGAGCAAAGUGCCAACUAUCUGUGUAUACAGGGAAUCACCAUGGUCCAAAUAAAUAUUUUCUCUUUAGAAUGGCAAAAAUGUGGUCUGAUUGGUAAUUCAGCUUGA